GAUGAAGAACGUAGCGAAAUGCGAUAAGUAAUGCGAAUUGCAGAAUUUCCGUGAGUCAUCGAAUCUUUGAACGCACAUUGCGCCCACUGGUAUUCCGGUGGGCAUGCCUGUUCGAGCGUCAUUAUCCUCCCUCAAACCUCGGGUUUGGUGUUGGACCCAAGUUGUGUGAACAACUGGCCUUAAAGACAAUGACGGCGUCCGUGGGACCCUCGGUGCAACGAGCUUUUAGGAGCACGCGUCGAGUUUCAAGGACCUUCCGGGCCGGUCUCCUUUACCAUUUUACAAGGUUGACCUCGGAUCAGGUAGGAAUACCCGCUGAACUUAAGCAUAUCAAUAAGCGGAGGA
rnacentral:misc_RNA from 1 species